rnacentral:rRNA from 1 species
GACAGAGGGUGCAAACGUUGUUCGGAAUUACUGGGCGUAAAGCGUAUGUAGACGGUCUGCUAAGUCGGGUGUGAAAGCCCUGGGCUCAACCCAGGAAGUGCACUCGAAACUGGCAGGCUAGAGUACUGGAGAGGUUGGUGGAAUUCUCGGUGUAGAGGUGAAAUUCGUAGAUAUCGAGAGGAACACCGGUGGCGAAGGCGGCCAACUGGACAGAUACUGACGCUGAGACACGAAAGCGUGGGGAGCAAACAGG